rnacentral:RNase_P_RNA from 1 species
AAAGCAGGUCGCCUUAUCGCAUCUUAGUUUUAAGAUGAGGAAAGUCCGAACACCAAAGUGUAAGCAUAGUGGUUAACAGCCACCAGUCGUGAGGCUAGGAAAAGUGCAACAGAAAGUAUGUACAGGUCAUGCUGUAGUGAAACCAGGUAAACUCUAUGUGGUGCAAUCUCAUGUAAAUUAACGUUUGAACGUACACGCGUGAUGUUAAAGGGUAGAGAGCUAGAGUGUUAUGGUAACAUAACAUGUAGAUAAAUGAUAAGGGCUCUUUUUAAGAGUACAGAAUUCGGCUUAUAGAUCUGCUUUUUUU